CGCGUAGAUGAUGUGCCUUUAGGGGGGACAACCUCGUGAAACGGGGCUAAUACCGCAUAAGUUUGCUGAAAUUGAAAUAAGCAAAGAAAGGGGGCUUCGGCUCUCGCUAGAAGAUCGGUCUGCGUAGCAUUAGCUUGUUGGUGGGGUAAUGGCCUACCAAGGCGACGAUGCUUAGCUGGUCUGAGAGGAUGAUCAGUCACACUGGAACUGAGACACGGUCCAGACUCCUACGGGAGGCAGCAGUGGGGAAUAUUGCACAAUGGGGGAAACCCUGAUGCAGCCAUGCCGCGUGUGUGAAGA
rnacentral:rRNA from 1 species